rnacentral:misc_RNA from 1 species
GAUGAAGAACGCAGCGAAAUGCGAUAAGUAGUGUGAAUUGCAGAAUUCAGUGAAUCAUCGAAUCUUUGAACGCACAUUGCGCCCUUUGGUAUUCCUUAGGGCAUGCCUGUUCGAGCGUCAUUUAAACCUUCAAGCUAAGCUUGGUGUUGGGUGACUGUCCGCUUCACGGCGGACUCGCCUCAAAAUUAUUGGCGGCCGGUACAUUGGCUUCGAGCGCAGCAGAAACGCGAACUCGGGCCCGUCGUAUUGGCUCCCAGAAGCUAUCUUCACAAUUUUGACCUCGGAUCAGGUAGGGAUACCCGCUGAACUUAAGCAUAUCAAUAAGCGGAGA